CGCCCGCGAGCGGUUUGUUAAGGCCGAUGGUGAAAUCCCCCCCGUUAACGUGCGGAACUGCAUUGGAAACUGGCCAGCUAUAGCUCUGGUAGAGGGGGGUAGAAUUCCGCGUGUAGCGGUGAAAUGCGUAGAGAUCUGGAGGAAUACCGGUGGCGAAGCGGCCCCCUGGAGUAAUACUGACGCUCAGGGCGAAAGCGUGGGGAGCAAACAGGAUUAGAUACCCUGGUAGUCCAC
rnacentral:rRNA from 1 species